GCUGCACUAUCUGGCAAUGCAGAAACCUGCAGACCUCGCUCGGCACCUGCUACCUUGUGUAAUUCAUGCAGCCGUCCUCAAGGUAAAGGAAGAAGAAAGUCUGGAAACAUUUCUUCCGUUAAGAAGAUUAUCAAGCAGAUAAUAUCCCAUUCCAGCAAAGUCCUGCACUUUCCCAAUCCGGAAGACAAGAAACUAGAAGAAAUCAUCCAUCAAAUUACUAAUGUGGAAGCCCUAAUUGCUAGAGCCCGCUCACUGAAAGCCAAGUUUGGAACUGAGAAAUGUGAACAAGAGGAGGAAAAGGAAGAUCUCGAAAGGU